rnacentral:rRNA from 1 species
AUUGAACGCUGGCGGCAGGCCUAACACAUGCAAGUCGAACGGUAGCACAGAGAGCUUGCUCUCGGGUGACGAGUGGCGGACGGGUGAGUAAUGUCUGGGAAACUGCCUGAUGGAGGGGGAUAACUACUGGAAACGGUAGCUAAUACCGCAUAACGUCUUCGGACCAAAGAGGGGGACCUUCGGGCCUCUUGCCAUCGGAUGUGCCAAGAUGGGAUUAGCUAGUAGGUGGGGUAACGGCUCACCUAGGCGACGAUCCCUAGCUGGUCUGAGAGGAUGACCAGCUACACUGGAACUGAGACACGGUCCAGACUCCUACGGGAGGCAGCAGUGGGGAAUAUUGCACAAUGGGCGCAAGCCUGAUGCAGCCAUGCCGCGUGUAUGAAGAAGGCCUUCGGGUUGUAAAGUACUUUCAGCGGGGAGGAAGGGAGUGAGGUUAAUAACCUCAUUCAUUGACGUUACCCGCAGAAGAAGCACCGGCUAACUCCGUGCCAGCCGCCGCGGUAA